rfam:Schistosoma mansoni, Puerto Rico, WGS project CABG01000000 data, contig: 0222
AUCCAGAUGAUGAGUCCCAAAUAGGUCGAAACGCGCGUCCUAGAU